rnacentral:rRNA from 1 species
CCUACGGGUGGCAGCAGUGGGGAAUAUUGGGCAAUGGGCGCAAGCCUGACCCAGCAAUGCCGCGUGAAGGAAGAAGGCUUUCGGGUUGUAAACUUCUUUGACAGGGGAAGAGCAGAAGACGGUACCCUGAAAACAAGCCACGGCUAACUACGUGCCAGCAGCCGCGGUAAUACGUAGGUGGCAAGCGUUGUCCGGAUUUACUGGGUGUAAAGGGCGUGUAGCCGGGAAGGCAAGUCAGAUGUGAAAUCUGGAGGCUCAACCUCCAAAUUGCAUUUGAAACUGUUUUUCUUGAGUGAGCGAGAAGUAUGCGGAAUGCGUGGUGUAGCGGUGAAAUGCAUAGAUAUCACGCAGAACUCCGAUUGCGAAGGCAGCAUACCGGCGCUCAACUGACGCUCAUGCACGAAAGUGUGGGUAUCGAACAGGAUUAGAUACCCCGGUAGUC